AACGGCCAUGCCAUGCUGAAUAUACCGGUUCUCGUUAGAUCACCGAAGUCAAGCAUCAUUGGGCGCGGUCAGUACUUGGGUGGGUGACCACCUGGGAACAGAGCUUGCCG
rnacentral:rRNA from 1 species